CAGCCGCCGCGGUAAAACGUAGGGUGCAAGCGUUAAUCGGAAUUACUGGGCGUAAAGUGUGCGCAGGCGGUUAUAUAAGUCAGAUGUGAAAUCCCCGGGCUCAACCUGGGAACUGCAUUUGAGACUGUAUGGCUAGAGUGUGUCAGAGGGGGGUAGAAUUCCACGUGUAGCAGUGAAAUGCGUAGAUAUGCGGAGGAACACCGAUGGCGAAGGCAAUCCCCUGGACCUGUACUGACGCUCAUGCACGAAAGCGUGGGGAGCAAACAGGAUUAGAUACCCGCGUAGUCCCUGUCUCUUAUAC
rnacentral:rRNA from 1 species